CCAGCACUUUGUAAAACAUCAGCUAUCCAUCUUCUCCGGAAAUACUCCCUGACCCGUUGAGUUACUCCAGCACUUUGUGUCAUUUUCUUUUGUAAACCUGCACCUGCA